GUGGAGCAUGUGGCUUAAUUUGACUCAACGCGGGGAAUCUUACUAGGUCCGGACCGAUUCUAUGAUCGUCGUACUGUGGGGUGCUACGUGAUUACUGGAUGAGUGGUGCAUGGCCGUUCUUAGUUCGUGGUGUCAGGUGUCUACUUAAUUGUCAUUGGUUCUCGUAUCUUACGGUACAGAACUGAUAACGAACGAGAUCGAGGCCCGUGGUUGUGUCGUUGGUUAUUAUUGUGCGCGACGUUAACUACGGGGAUCGCGUAUGACUCCACGGUACGAUCGAAAGACUCGGCAAUAACAGGUCUGUGAUGCCCUCAGAUGUUCUAGGCUGCHCACGUGCUACAUUGUGGUUUCGUUUGUAUGCGUAGAUAUCUAAGAUCCCCCGCAUCGAGUCAUAAUCGGUCACACGGUUGGACUCCACCCGUUUGUAAUUAUUCAAUAUACUAA
rnacentral:rRNA from 1 species